rnacentral:lncRNA from 1 species
AUGGAUGCCAUGGCAACCCUGCAGGUAUGCACAAACAGGGAUCCUGAGCCUAAACCUUCUUCUGGAAUGAACAGUGCAGUUAGGAACCACCCUUGUAAAUACAGGAUUGAAGGAAGAAUGAGUAUAUCUCAGGAUGUCAUACCACUCAGCACUACUGUGUGGCUCUGCAACAUUAUGAAGCCCUAACAUGAACUUCCUACUUCUAAUGUCAGCAAGAAGAUCAGCUAUUAAAGUUCCUUUAUGACAGAAGAAAGUAUCUGAAGUGUUUGAAUUAUGCCAAGUCCCUGCAGAUGCUGUCUUAUGGCAUAUAGGAGUUGCGGGAGAAUCCAAAUUGUCAUUUGAUAAGAGAAAUUCUUCCUUGACUGAUGGUGUUUCUUCUCCUAUCAAUAACUGCUGUGGAGGCAGAGUUUGGCAAUGCUCUUGGAAUGCCCAAGAUUACGGAAUCGCUUGGAGGAAAGUACACAUAACAACCUCUGCAGAGUGAGAUUAUAUUAUCUUUAUAAUAGAGUUGCCUUU